UACGUAGGGGGCAAGCGUUGUCCGGAAUCAUUGGGCGUAAAGCGCGUGUAGGCGGCCCGAUAAGUCCGCUGUGAAAGUCGGGGGCUCAACCCUCGGAUGCCGGUGGAUACUGUUGGGCUUGAGUACGGAAGAGGCGAGUGGAAUUCCUGGUGUAGCGGUGAAAUGCGCAGAUAUCAGGAGGAACACCAAUUGCGAAGGCAGCUCGCUGGGACGUUACUGACGCUGAGACGCGAAAGCGUGGGGAGCAAACAGG
rnacentral:rRNA from 1 species